UCAUAAUAAAAUGCUUAAGCAAAUUUAUAAUUUUUAAAAUUAUUUUUAUCAUUAAAUUGCAUUGGAAUUUAAUGCAAUUAAAUUAUGAUAGAAUUAAGAAUGCCAUCUGGGGGAUGCCUGGGUGGCUCAGCGCCCCUAGCAUCAUAAUCUUGAUUUUGGCUCAUGUCAUGAUCUCAUGGUUUGUGGGAUUAAGCCCCAUGUUGGGCUCUGCACUGACAGUGAAGAGACUGCUUGACAUUCUCUCUCUGCUCCUCCCCUGCUCAUGUGCGCGUAUGCUCUCUCUCAAAAUAAAUAAAUAUACAUUAAUGAAUAAAAAAAUAAUGCCAUCUGGAAAGUUAGAUUUAUCCUGUCAGUUUUGAGGUGUCAAAUAGUCUUUAUCACUUUUUUUCCAGAUAAAUCCCAUUCAAAAAUAGCAAGUUUGAAAUAAGGAUUUGAAAUAUCCCUUAAUCAAUUAAAGAAGCUGCUGUAAAAGCAGAAAACAAGUCUCAAGAUAUGAUCACAGUAAUUUUAACAAUUUAUACAGUUUUGGUUGUUAACAUUAAUAUUAACAGAAUAAAAACAAAAAAAGCUCAAUGUUAGCUAUAGUUCUUUCAUAUCAAGAAGAGACCAACUAAAUACCAAAUGUAAUGAGUACAAGUGUGUGUGUGUGUGUGUGUGUGUG